UAAAGUUAAUUCAAACCAAAACUGCCAAGCGUUGUGAAUCCCUCUUAAAUGCUUUGUUAGUUGCCAAACCUAAAGCUUUGAUUUGAAGCCGAUUGCCGUUUUGCCAACACUUGCUUUACGUGUUUUGGUAGACUCAAAUCAGGCGCAGUUUCAAAGCGCCUGUCACUGAAACCACUUGGAACACGCAACGCCGUAGAAAACGAACCAACAACACCAAAAAGCUCUUUUAGACAGACACUGUCACCUAGCAGACUUUCAACAAAUAAAUCGGUUUCUGAAACAGAAAAUUCAACCACAAAAGAAACCUGAGAACGAUUUUCACGAACCCGAACGAUUCAAAAUUUAAGUACGAAACGCCACCAAAAAUACACUGGCUUUAACUCUAAACAUUCUGCUUUAGCUGCGUUUUCCUCAUUGGCAACUAACGCCCUGUUAAGGGGUGAGCAACGCAAUACAAAAGCCGCCGCAUACCACCUUAAACACUAAAAUCAACGCAUAGUAAAAAUGCCACGCGUUGCGAAUCCCUCUUGAACAGUUUGUUAUGUGCGUACUAAACGUUACCAGUGUUAGAGGAAUUGAAAGAAAACAUCCGAACUUCGUCGCGAGGAAACCAACCUAAUUUUUCGUAGAAAGACUGCGCAUUAAUGUUUUCAUUUGCGACGAAUAGAUGCGUUUUGGCUAUGCCUACUUUUGAUAGAGCUUCCACUGCUGACGAUAUGAGCUUUGCACCAACGCCUUUACCUCGAAAAGUUGAAUCAACAGCCAAAUGCUGCACAUACCCUCGACGACCAUCAGUCCCAACUAAAAUAGCACCAAUAAUAUUGUCACCAUCCAAUGCGACGAAACUAAGGUUUGGAUUGCGUUUUAGGUACUUACCUAUGUUUUCCUUUGAAUCUGCAUCUCGCAGCAACAUCGCUUCUGUUGUUGACCACAAGUCGAUUACUUGCGAGUAAUCUGAGAUAUCCAUUUCUCUUAUCACUACCGAUUUUCCUCCAAGCACAUAACGCCCUGUUAAGGUGUGAGCAACGCAAUACCUAAGUUCCCGCAGACCACCAUAAACACAAAACGCAACGCAUAGCAAAAAUGCCAAGCGUUGCGAAUCACUCUUAAACAGAUUGUUAGGCAAAUUCAGGGAGCGCGAUAAAUGUGUCGCGAGCCAUAUUUCCGAUGGUAUUGGUUGUUACUGAGUCAAAGGUAGCUCCAACGAUACCUCCGACCAACGGAAUUGCUUUACCUAAAUUUAUAGCCCCUUUUUCCCCAAACUUAGUUAGUAACCUAAAACCUACAGCCUGAUUAAUUUUAGUUAUUGUUUUCCCACUAAUACUCUUAAUCGCAUUUUCUGUAAGCUUUCUACCAACUACAAUACCUAUAUCUUUGAGGAUAUCUUUAGCCGCAUUGCCAGUCAGACAUGCAUAAACCAUCGCUUUGACACGAUCGUCUUUCAAGUCGUGCCCCCCCAUAUGAGCAAUUGCAGCUAUCAUUCGGAUUUGUACGUACAUAACGCUCGUUAUGUUGGCUGGUAAAGUUACUGGCAUUGUUAUCAAACCACCUAACCCCGUGAGGAAGCCUGAAGUGCCUGCUUUUGUAUUUUGCCAACGAAUUAAUGAGUUUGCUUGGCUUAUUGGAUCACUUGAUUCUUUCAUGUAGCUCAAUGCUAGUUCUUGGGCAGAAUCUAAACCAGCUACACCGUUGAUCGCCUUGUCGUAUGCCCAAUCUAGGGCCUGCAUUAUCUUAUUUUCAGUUAAUUCUUGAGACACCUUUUGUAACCUCAGGUUUAUUAGCAAUUAUUCAUGUGAAAAAUACCAUACGAUAAAUACAGAAGCAUAAAAUCAAAGAUGAAAAAUGUGAUUUGUAGCAUAUGAUUGAAUAUGCCUAACGCCCUGUUAAGGUGUGAGGCACGCAAUACCGAAGCCUCCGCAUACCACCUUAACCACUAAAACCAACGCACAGUAAAAAUGCCACGCG
rnacentral:rRNA from 1 species